rnacentral:rRNA from 1 species
UACAGAGGGUGCGAGCGUUAAUCGGAAUUACUGGGCGUAAAGCGUGCGUAGACGGUUAUUUAAGUCGGGUGUGAAAGCCCCGGGCUCAACCUGGGAAUUGCAUUCGAGACUGAAUAGCUAGGGUACGGUAGAGGGAAGUGGAAUUUCCGGUGUAGCGGUGAAAUGCGUAGAUAUCGGAAGGAACAUCAGUGGCGAAAGCGACUUCCUGGCCCAUUCUUGACGCUGAGGCGCGAAAGCUAGGGGAGCGAACGGG